rnacentral:rRNA from 1 species
AUGCAGGUUGAUGACUCCGUGCGGUUGCUAGGGGCACAGGUUGUGCUGAUAAAAGUCCAUGAAUUUUUUAUUAGCAUCAUUAUUUUUCAAUUUGAUCUAUUGUUUUCUAGCUUUUCUUGUGUAUCAACUUCCAUAUAUGGUACUGUUUGUCAAGCAUUACUAUUGUUCUCACUUAGAAUUUUUUCUUUUCUUCUUUGCUACUUUAUAUUUAGAUGCUCAAGAAAUUUGGGAAGUAUCAUAGUGGUUCGGGCCUUGGUGCUACAUGAGACACAAGCACCUUCAAAGUACAUGUGUGUAUUAUGGAUAUUAGUGCUUUUGCUCAUUCUAAUUUUUUACUUAAGGUGUUAUUAA